UACGGAGGGGGCUAGCGUUGUUCGGAAUUACUGGGCGUAAAGCGUACGUAGGCGGCUUUGUAAGUUAGAGGUGAAAGCCCGGGGCUCAACCCCGGAAUUGCCUUUAAGACUGCAUCGCUUGAACGUCGGAGAGGUGAGUGGAAUUCCGAGUGUAGAGGUGAAAUUCGUAGAUAUUCGGAAGAACACCAGUGGCGAAGGCGGCUCACUGGACGACUGUUGACGCUGAGGUACGAAAGCGUGGGGAG
rnacentral:rRNA from 1 species